rnacentral:rRNA from 1 species
AUUGAACGCUGGCGGCGUGCUUAACACAUGCAAGUCGAACGCGAAAGGGACUUCGGUCCUGAGUAAAGUGGCGCACGGGUGAGUAACACGUGGAUAAUCUGCCCUUAUGAUUGGAAUAACAGUUGGAAACGGCUGCUAAUACCGGAUACGCUCAAAAUGAACUUUUUGAGGAAAGAUGGCCUCUGCUUGCAUGCUAUCGCAUAAGGAUGAGUCCGCGUCCCAUUAGCUUGUUGGCGGGGUAACGGCCCACCAAGGCAACGAUGGGUAGCCGAUUUGAGAGGAUGAUCGGCCACACUGGAACUGAAACACGGUCCAGACUCCUACGGGAGGCAACAGUGGGGAAUAUUGCGCAAUGGGCGAAAGCCUGACGCAGCGACGCCGCGUGAGGGAUGAAGGUUUUCGGAUCGUAAACCUCUGUCAGAAGGGAAGAAACUACGCUGUGCUAAUCAGCAGCGUACUGACGGUACCUUCAAAGGAAGCACCGGCUAACUCCGUGCCAGCCGCCGCCGUAA